UCCCUGGUGGCUCAGUGGUAAAGAGCCCACCUGCCAAUGCAGGAGACACGGGUUUGAGCCCUGACCAGGGAA
rnacentral:tRNA from 1 species